UUUAACUAUUGCCUAUAAGAAUGCAAUUCUCGAUAAAAAAUUUAUAUUUUUUUGUAUCUUUCCUAAAAUAAAACCGAAUUUCUAUAUUUAUAACGCGUGAUAUUAAAAGGUUUUCUUGCGGGCGUUGUUGGAGAAGGCAAAGCUGGAGAACCCAUUAGAUCUACGUUUUCCUAAGGAAGUUCUUAAAAUGCCAAUAUAGCAGCACAUGCUGCAACCAAGACGUAGUGAAGGGCACAGCAUCCACCCUAAUCUGACAGGGAAUUGACGCAAAGGGCUAUCGUAUUCGUUGGCCUAGCUGAUAGUGGCCGUAGCAAUUGCUACUGCUGCUGCAGUGAUUUACUGGUUUGCAUAUCGGACGGUCAUUGAAAAGCCAAUUGAAAUCGACCGCUCUAAUCGCACAUGAUGAAAACAAUUUAUCAUGCCUGCUCGCCUCAGUUGUGUUGUUUCGAACUGUAAAUUUUGCCCAGUGUUGUGAUCUAUCCUAGAAAUGGAUCGUCCUAUAUUUUUGUUCGAAACUUUAUUUAUUAUGAGAGAAAAAUACAUAUUUAAUUACAUUUACAUUUGACGGUUGAGUUAUACAUAUUCAAUGUUGUUUUACAAAACCAAAGUUUUAUUUAAAAUCCUCAUAAUAUGUCACAACAAGGGCACCGAAUACACGCAAACAAAAAUCUCGUUCAAAACGGGUCAAGUUUCUUCAAACCAUACAGAAGUUAUCUUGAAGAUCUGACACGGCAAAGGCCAUAAAAACAUUCCCAAGAUUACCGAGCAAGGAGCAAAGGUCACGAAAAAAAUCUCAGCAAGUACAUUAAUGUCAGACCAGUUUCAUGAUGUAUAUAAGAUUUCUGGUUGUUUUAUUGACGUGUUCUUAGAAUUUUUUACGAAAAAAUAUAAAGACACCGAGUUCGGCGAAGUGGAGAUAUAAAAAUGUGAAAACCUAAAAAGUGUUACGCUUGUUACUUAAUAAUUACGUUUUGGUUUGAGUGAAAUAUGUAAUGGGUCGGUUGCCUUGUUAACCCUACUUCUCAAGAAAGGAAAAUUUAAAUAAUGUGGUCAUACAUGUAGAUUUCCAAAAAUUUUUAGGAUUUAAGGGUCAACAAUCGAGAAUGUUAAUUUAGUUUGCUUAAGAAUGGCGUUUUUAUGAUAAUAGAUAAUGAGAAGAGAGUCAAUACUUUCAUUUUUACUGCCCAUUAACAUUUUUAAUAGAAUAAAGAUUAAUUAUGUAAAAGCUAUAUAACAUGGUUUUUAUACAGCUUUGUUUUCAAAAGCU